GCCAGCGUCGCAUAACUCGGUAGUGCGUCAGUCUCGAAAACUGAUCCCUCUGGGAUUCCCGGUUCAAAUCCGGGCGCUGGCG
rnacentral:tRNA from 1 species